rnacentral:rRNA from 1 species
UACGUAGGGUGCAAGCGUUAAUCGGAAUUACUGGGCGUAAAGCGUGCGCAGGCGGUUUUGUAAGUCUGUCGUGAAAGCCCCGGGCUCAACCUGGGAAUUGCGAUGGAGACUGCAAGGCUUGAAUCUGGCAGAGGGGGGUAGAAUUCCACGUGUAGCAGUGAAAUGCGUAGAGAUGUGGAGGAACACCGAUGGCGAAGGCAGCCCCCUGGGUCAAGAUUGACGCGCAUGCACGAAAGCGUGGGGAGCAAACAGG